rnacentral:tRNA from 1 species
GCCCGGCUAGCUCAGUCGGUAGAGCAUGAGACUCUUAAUCUCAGGGUCGGGUUCGAACCCCCACGUUGGGCG